rnacentral:rRNA from 1 species
GGUCUUGGUCUUAAACCUCAUA